UUAUUAGCGGUUCAUCAACCAUCCCGCUUAAAAAAACUAGGAGAUU
rfam:Leuconostoc lactis strain WIKIM21 contig00023, whole genome shotgun sequence.